rnacentral:rRNA from 1 species
CCUGAACGCUGUCGGCGUGACUAAGACAUGCAAGUCGUACGGGCGUAGCAAUACGUCAUUGGCGCACGGGUGAGUAAGGCAGCGCUAAUCUGCCCCGGGGCCUGGGCUAGCCAGCCGAAAGGUUGGGUAAUACCAGAUGAGACCACGAACCGGCAUCGGUUUGUGCUCAAAGGUUCGCCGCACUGGGAUGAGGCGAUGUGGUAUCAGCUAGUUGGUGGUGUAACGGCCCGCCAAGGCUUCGACGCCUAGCCGGACUGAGAGGUCGGCCGGCCACAUCGGGAAUGAGACACUGCCCGGACUGCUACGGGGGGCUGCAGUAAUGAAUCGUACGCAAUGCACGAAAGUGUGACGGAGCGACGCCGAGUGAAGGAUGAAGUCCCUCGAGAUGUAAACUUCUAAAAACUGUUAGAAAGUUCUGAUAGACAGGCUAUAAGUGGCGACUAACUACGUG